rnacentral:misc_RNA from 1 species
GAUGAAGAACGUAGCGAAAUGCGAUAAGUAAUGUGAAUUGCAGAAUUCAGUGAAUCAUCGAAUCUUUGAACGCACAUUGCGCCCAUUAGCAUUCUAGUGGGCAUGCCUGUUCGAGCGUCAUUUCAACCCUUAAGCCUGUUGCUUAGCGUUGGGAGCCUACAGUACUGUAGCUCCCCAAAGUUAGUGGCGGAGUCGGUUUCACACUCUAGACGUAGUAAUUUUUUCUCGUCUGUAGUUGAGCCGGUCCCCUGCCGUAAAACACCCAAUUUAUCAAGGUUGACCUCGGAUCAGGUAGGAAUACCCGCUGAACUUAAGCAUAUCAAUAAGCGGAGGA